UGGGGCGUCGCCAAGCGGUAAGGCAGCAGGUUUUGAUCCUGCCAUACGGUGGUUCGAAUCCAUCCGCCCCAGCCA
rnacentral:tRNA from 1 species